CAUGCGCAGAUUACUGAUAGGGGGAAGCCGGGAAAGGUAACGCCUCUUCGUGCUUUGCUGAGUACAGGCUGGGUCCGGCCCUUAGCCUGCAGUGCACUGGCUUGGCCAGAGCUUGCUUUUCCUCCCAGCACUGCAUCUCCAUGCCUGAAUCCUGGCUCAAUCCUGCAGGUGUUUCGACUUCUCUUCCGAACCUCCCAGUCCAGCACCAGCACUCCUGUUUUGGGGAUCUCAGUUUAGACUUGCCUUGAACUGGCUAGUAAGACCAGGCUAAAGUUGAUCUCACAGUAAUCUUCCUGGCUCAUCCUCCUAAGGGAAAUUUAUCUCUCUUUAUGGAUCACAAGCUUUUCCAGCACAGUUUGUGAAGAGGUUGUCUUUCUCCACCUAUAUUGUUUGAC